rnacentral:rRNA from 1 species
CACGUAGGCACCAAGCGUUUGUCCGGAUUUAUUGGGCGUAAAGAGCUCGUAGGCGGUCUGUCGCGUCGGCUGUGAAAACUCGGGGCUCAACUCCGAGCUUGCAGUCGAUACGGGCAGGCUAGAGUUCGGCAGGGGAGACUGGAAUUCCUGGUGUAGCGGUGAAAUGCGCAGAUAUCAGGAGGAACACCGGUGGCGAAGGCGGAUCUCUGGGCCGAUACUGACGCUGAGGAGCGAAAGCGUGGGGAGCGAACAGG